UUUAGACCAAGAAAACUCAACUGAUCAAGUUUCUUUUUUCUUUUUGAUAAAUGAUCAAGCCUCUUUUCAUUUCAUACAAUAGAUAAAAGUCCAUUCCAAUAUCAAAAAGCACUAAACCAAAAAUGUUAUUCAUCACCAUAUACACAUACACCAAAUGACCAAAAAUUAAAAGUGAUUACAAAACUCACAAAAAUUUCUCACAAUUCACCAUAACCUAAAAAAAAAACUAUAUGGUAAGCCUCCUCUGUUAUAAGUUACAACCAUAGUAAUUAUCAUCAACUAGAUUGUACAUCCAUGGAACCAAAUCUAAAAUUAGAACAACUAGUAUCCCUAAUCAAAAGUGAAGAACUAAAUCCAACCAUAGAACUAUCAAAAUCAAACUGAACCAAAACAUCUUCCAAUUGAUACCCUCCAAUCACAAUAAGAUUCUUUUGUUCAUCACCACCAUCCAAAAUUCCCAAACACAUAACAUCAUCACUUACUCUAACCAUUGAAUUUCUUCCAUGAAUUCUCCAUUUCACCAUCUCACUUUGCAGAACAAGAUCAAUUACUGGCACAUUAGGCCCAAUUUUUGACGCACCAAUUCCAUUAGAACCAAAACAAAUCUCAAAGGGUGCCACAGAAUCUACCCUAGAGAUGUUCAUAGAUAAAGCAGCUUUCAAAAUAGCACUUUUGAAGUUUGCAUAGAUUGAACUUUGCAUGGUUGUAUAAGGCACAAUAGAACUCAAUAAAGUUCCACUAUUGCCUUCUUGAGACAAAGAUAGGGUGUUAAAAGAAACUUUUUUGCCACCAAUUUUGAUGGAAUUAACGUUGAUGAAAUAUUCCAUGUUUUGGUUGGUGACAAGUGGUGUGAAUGUUAAAGAUCUGAAAAUUUCAGAUUCAGAAACCUUGUUUCUUCUUCCAAGUGAAACAAACCCAGAAGAAGAAGAUAAACAAAAAGUGAUUUUUCUGUCUGAAUCAAUUGAAUUGAAAAACUGUGAUGAAAAAGAGGUUCUAGAUCUACCAAACCCAACAAUGCCUUUAGCAUCAUUAGAUAACCCAUUCAACAAAAGGGUAUUUGAACAAGUGAACAAAUAUUCAUGGGCUGGUUCAAAAAUUGAAUCUUUCAUUGAUUUCACUGCUAAAACAUCUUCAACAAGCUUUCCCUCAGUUGCUACUUUACCUGUGAUGGUGUUUUUAGCAACAAUUUCACAUGGGCUAUCUUGAUCUAUAGGAUUUUCAUUUUCAAGGCUUGAAACCCAUGUUUGUGUGUGACUUUUUGCAGUGAGACAUUGAACAGAACGGUGUGGGAUUGAACUCAAAGAUGAUGAGGUUUUUGUUGAAGAACAAUCAACCCAAAAGUGUGAACCACUAAGAUCAACAACAAGGUUUGUAGCAACAAAAGGGGUUCCAAAAGACAGAGUUGUUGUGUAUUGUUGUGUUGUGUUGUCUUUUGUGAUUGGAAUAAAAAUGGAAUUUGAAGAGGAAGAAACUAUGGUGAGAAGAAAGAAAAAGAGAGGAAGGAAAAUAGAGAAAGAAAAAGAAGCCAUUGAAGAAGAAGGAAAGAGAGCGGAAUUUUUUUUGGUUUUGUUAGUUGGUUGAAGAAGGGGUCGGCUGUGGUUCGCCGCGGUUUAGUUGAAAUAAGCUAUUAUGGGUUGGGAAUGGAUAAGUGUCUGAGGAAAUGUGAAUAAUUAUAAGUUGUUUUUUGUUUGUUGUUUAGUGUGAAGUUUUGGUUUGCUGACUCGAUCACACUCUGUGAUGCAAACGUGCUUAUCUUAUCUUUAGCUUUUCUUUGAUUUUUUCUCUCCAAUUGGAGUUGAGUUGCCAUGUGUAUACCUUCUUACUAAGGUUAUCUACAUUUCUCUUACCCACAUUUUAAAAAAC
rnacentral:lncRNA from 1 species